AUGGGCAAGGACACUAUUGCUGAUUUACUAACCUCUAUAAGAAAUGCGAACAUGAAUAAAAAAGGAACAGUUCGAGUAGUAUCUACAAAUAUUACCGAAAACAUUGUUAAAAUACUUCUACGAGAGGGUUUUAUUGAAAGUGUUCGGAAACAUCAGGAACGUAAUAGAUAUUUCUUGGUUUCAACUUUGCGACAUCAAAAGAGAAAGACUAGAAAAGGAAUAUAUAGAACAAGAACCUUUUUAAAGCAUAUCAGCCGACCCGGCUUACGAAUUUAUACCAACUAUCAAGGAAUUCCUAAAGUUUUGGGUGGAAUGGGAAUUGCUAUUCUUUCUACUUCUCGAGGAAUAAUGACAGAUCGAGAAGCUCGACUAAACAGAAUUGGGGGAGAAGUCUUAUGUUAUAUAUGGUAA
rnacentral:rRNA from 1 species